rnacentral:rRNA from 1 species
UACGUAGGGUGCAAGCGUUAAUCGGAAUUACUGGGCGUAAAGCGUGCGCAGGCGGUUAUGUAAGACAGUUGUGAAAUCCCCGGGCUCAACCUGGGAAUUGCAUCUGUGACUGCAUAGCUAGAGUACGGUAGAGGGGGAUGGAAUUCCGCGUGUAGCAGUGAAAUGCGUAGAUAUGCGGAGGAACACCGAUGGCGAAGGCAAUCCCCUGGACCUGUACUGACGCUCAUGCACGAAAGGCGUGGGGAGCAAACGAGG